UGGGGUAUGGCUCAGUGGCAGAGCAUGUGCUUAGCAUGUACAAGGCCCUGGGUUCAAUCCCCAGCACCCAAA
rnacentral:tRNA from 1 species